ACUGCUCAGUAACACGUGGGUAACCUGCCUCAAAGAGGGGGAUAGCCUCCCGAAAGGGAGAUUAAUACCGCAUAAUAUUAGAUCUUCGCAUGGAGAUUUAAUCAAAGGAGCAAUCCGCUUUGAGAUGGACCCGCGGCGCAUUAGCUAGUUGGUGAGGUAACGGCUCACCAAGGCGACGAUGCGUAGCCGACCUGAGAGGGUGAUCGGCCACAUUGGAACUGAGACACGGUCCAAACUCCUACGGGAGGCAGCAGUGGGGAAUAUUGCACAAUGGGCGAAAGCCUGAUGCAGCAACGCCGCGUGAGUGAUGAAGGCCUUCGGGUUGUAAAACUCUGUCUUCUGGGACGAUAAUGACGGUACCAGAGGAGGAAGCCACGGCUAACUACGUGCCAGCAGCCGCGGUAAUACGUAGGUGGCAAGCGUUGUCCGGAUUUACUGGGCGUAAAGAAUGCGUAGGCGGAUAUUUAAGUCAGAUGUGAAAUCCCCGGGCUUAACUUGGGGGCUGCAUUUGAAACUGGAUAUCUAGAGUGCGGGAGAGGUAAGUGGAAUUCCUAGUGUAGCGGUGAAAUGCGUAGAGAUUAGGAAGAACACCAGUGGCGAAGGCGACUUACUGGACUGUAACUGACGCUGAGGCAUGAAAGCGUGGGGAGCAAACAGGAUCAGAUGCCCUGGUAGUCCACGCCGUAAACGAUGGGUACUAGGUGUAGGAGGUAUCGACUCCUUCUGUGCCGCAGUUAACACAAUAAGUACCCCGCCUGGGGAGUACGGUCGCAAGAUUAAAACUCAAAGGAAUUGGCGGGGGAGCAC
rnacentral:rRNA from 1 species